rnacentral:rRNA from 1 species
GGCCGAAUCGACUGGUCGGUCAUUGACUUGUACCAGGAGGGGCGGUCUUACCUUCUGGGUCUCAAUGUAUUCUUUAUUGGGUGCAUUUGGGUUCCAGGACAUUUACCUUGAAAAAAUUAGAGUGCUCAAGGCAGGCUUACGCUUGAAUAGAUUAGCAUGGAAUAACAGAAUAGGACUUUGGUUCUAUUUUGUUGGUUUGAGGACCAAAGUA